GAAAUGCGAUAAGUAAUGUGAAUUGCAGAAUUCAGUGAAUCAUCGAGUCUUUGAACGCACCUUGCGCUCCUUGGUAUUCCUUGGAGCAUGCCUGUUUGAGUAUCAUGAAAUCUUCAAAGUAAAUCUUUUGUUAACUCAAUUGGUUUCUACUUUGGUAUUGGAGGUCUUUGCAGCUUCACACCUGCUCCUCUUUGAUCAUUAGCUGGAUCUCAGUGUUAUGCUUGGUUCCACUCGGCGUGAUAAGUUAUCUAUCGCUGAGGACACUGUAAAAGGUGGCCAAGGUAAAUGCAGAUGAACCGCUUCUAAUAGUCCAUUGACUUGGACAAUACUUUUAUGAUCUGAUCUCAAAUCAGGUAGGACUACCCGCUGAACUUAAGC
rnacentral:misc_RNA from 1 species